AUGAAGGAUCUAGGAGUAGCUGAUGUUAUCUUAAACAUCAAGCUAUUGAGAGAUGAGAAUGGUGGGAUCACACUACUUCAGUCUCAUUAUGUGGAAAAGGUCUUGAGUCGUUUUGGGUAUAGCGACUGCACGCCUUCUCCAACUCCAUAUGAUGCUAGUGUGUUGCUUCGAAAGAAUCAACAGAUUGCUAGAGAUCAACUGAGGUAUUCUCAGAUUAUUGGCUCGCUUAUGUAUUUGGCGAGUGCCACGAGGCCUGACAUCUCUUUUGCUGUGAGCAAGCUGAGUCGGUUUGUGUCAAAACCGGGAGAUGAUCAUUGGCAUGCGCUUGAGAGAGUUAUGCGCUAUUUGAAAGGCACCGUGAGCUAUGGGAUUCACUACACCGGGUAUCCAAGGGUACUGGAGGGUUAUAGUGACUCAAACUGGAUAUCUGAUGCUGAUGAGAUUAAGGCCACAAGUGGUUAUGUUUUUACACUUGGUGGUGGCGCUGUUUCCUGGAAGUCUUGCAAGCAGACCAUCUUAACGAGGUCAACUAUGGAAGCAGAACUCACAACAUUAGACACUGCCACUGUUGAAGCAAAGUGGCUUCGUGAACUCUUAAUGGACUUACCUAUGGUUGAAAAACCAAUACCCCUAUCCUGA
rnacentral:rRNA from 1 species